UUGAGUGAAACUCACGUAGGUCUCGUGCUUUGGAAAUGGAUCCCACAUAAAGUUGCGAGACCUGCAUGAGUUUCACUCAA
rnacentral:pre_miRNA from 1 species